AUUGAACGCUGGCGGCAGGCCUAACACAUGCAAGUCGAACGGUAACAGGAAACAGCUUGCUGUUUCGCUGACGAGUGGCGGACGGGUGAGUAAUGUCUGGGAAACUGCCUGAUGGAGGGGGAUAACUACUGGAAACGGUAGCUAAUACCGCAUAACGUCGCAAGACCAAAGAGGGGGACCUUCGGGCCUCUUGCCAUCGGAUGUGCCCAGAUGGGAUUAGCUAGUAGGUGGGGUAACGGCUCACCUAGGCGACGAUCCCUAGCUGGUCUGAGAGGAUGACCAGCCACACUGGAACUGAGACACGGUCCAGACUCCUACGGGAGGCAGCAGUGGGGAAUAUUGCACAAUGGGCGCAAGCCUGAUGCAGCCAUGCCGCGUGUAUGAAGAGGGCCUUCGGGUUGUAAAGUACUUUCAGCGGGGAGGAAGGGAGUAAAGUUAAUACCUUUGCUCAUUGACGUUACCCGCAGAAGAAGCACCGGCUAACUCCGUG
rnacentral:rRNA from 1 species